rnacentral:rRNA from 1 species
UACGUAGGGUCCGAGCGUUGUCCGGAAUUAUUGGGCGUAAAGAGCUCGUAGGCGGUCUGUCGCGUCGGCUGUGAAAACCUGGGGCUCAACUCCAGGCCUGCAGUCGAUACGGGCAGACUAGAGUUCGGUAGGGGAGACUGGAAUUCCUGGUGUAGCGGUGAAAUGCGCAGAUAUCAGGAGGAACACCGAUGGCGAAGGCAGGUCUCUGGGCCAUAACUGACGCUGAGAAGCGAAAGCAUGGGGAGCGAACAGG